rnacentral:rRNA from 1 species
CUUGGUCAUUUAGAGGAAGUAAAAGUCGUAACAAGGUCUCCGUAGGUGAACCUGCGGAGGGAUCAUUACACAAAUAUGAAGGCGGGCUGGAACCUCUCGGGGUUACAGCCUUGCUGAAUUAUUCACCCUUGUCUUUUGCGUACUUCUUGUUUCCUUGGUGGGUUCGCCCACCACUAGGACAAACAUAAACCUUUUGUAAUUGCAAUCAGCGUCAGUAACAAAUUAAUAAUUACAACUUUCAACAACGGAUCUCUUGGUUCUGGCAUCGAUGAAGAACGCAGCGAAAUGCGAUAAGUAGUGUGAAUUGCAGAAUUCAGUGAAUCAUCGAAUCUUUGAACGCACAUUGCGCCCUUUGGUAUUCCAAAGGGCAUGCCUGUUCGAGCGUCAUUUGUACCCUCAAGCUUUGCUUGGUGUUGGGCGUCUUGUCUCUAGCUUUGCUGGAGACUCGCCUUAAAGUAAUUGGCAGCCGGCCUACUGGUUUCGGAGCGCAGCACAAGUCGCACUCUCUAUCAGCAAAGGUCUAGCAUCCAUUAAGCCUUUUUUUCAACUUUUGACCUCGGAUCAGGUAGGGAUACCCGCUGAACUUAAGCAUAUCAAUAAGCGGAG